GUGGGGAAUUUUGGACAAUGGGCGCAAGCCUGAUCCAGCAAUGCCGCGUGCAGGAAGAAGGCCUUCGGGUUGUAAACUGCUUUUGUACGGAACGAAACGGUCCGGGCUAAUACCCUGGGCUAAUGACGGUACCGUAAGAAUAAGCACCGGCUAACUACGUGCCAGCAGCCGCGGUAAUACGUAGGGUGCAAGCGUUAAUCGGAAUUACUGGGCGUAAAGCGUGCGCAGGCGGGUUUGUAAGACAGGCGUGAAAUCCCCGGGCUCAACCUGGGAAUUGCGCUUGUGACUGCAAGGCUGGAGUGCGGCAGAGGGGGAUGGAAUUCCGCGUGUAGCAGUGAAAUGCGUAGAUAUGCGGAGGAACACCGAUGGCGAAGGCAAUCCCCUGUGCCUGCACUGACGCUCAUGCACGAAAGCGUGGGGAGCAAACAGGAUUAGAAACCCGAGUAGUCC
rnacentral:rRNA from 1 species